UACGAAGGGUGCAAACGUUGCUCGGAAUUAUUGGGCGUAAAGCGCACGUAGGCGGCAUUGCAAGUCGGAUGUGAAAUCUUAUGGCUUAACCAUAAAAGUGCAUCCGAAACUGCAGUGCUUGAGUACUUAAGAGGAUCGCGGAAUUCCCGGUUGUAGAGGUGAAAUUCGUAGAUAUCGGGAGGAACACCAGUGGCGAAGGCGGCGAUCUGGGAAGAUACUGACGCUGAGGUGGCGAAAGCGUGGGGAGCAACAGG
rnacentral:rRNA from 1 species